rnacentral:rRNA from 1 species
GACGUAGGGCGCGAGCGUGUCCGGAUUUAUUGGGCGUAAAGAGCUCGUAGGCGGCUUGUCGCGUCGACUGUGAAAACCCGAGGCUCAACUUCGGGCUUGCAGUCGAUACGGGCAGGCUAGAGUUCGGUAGGGGAGACUGGAAUUCCUGGUGUAGCGGUGAAAUGCGCAGAUAUCAGGAGGAACACCGAUGGCGAAGGCAGGUCUCUGGGCCGAUGACUGACGCUGAGGAGCGAAAGCGUGGGGAGCGAACAGG